AUUGAUAACAAUGAAUUAUUCCAGAUGUAAAAGGAAUUGCUAAAAUCAACUAGAACUGAUGCUACAUAAGUUUUUGCUUUUCAUAAUUAAAUUAUUUCCCUCUUGAUAAAAAAAACCAUACUAUUCUAGAGAACUUAGUUCACAAGACAGAAAAGAAGCAAAGGUGUAUUAUGCAACUUUCAAUAAGGUGGAAAUAAACAAGACUAGAGGUGGGUGGAGAGAGAGAUAGAGAUGUUACACAUGAUUCAUUCCUGAACCACUAGAACUUGUUGUUUUUUCUCUCAUCCGUUGGCCAUGCCCAUCCUUAGAUUGGGCUUGAUUUGUAUUUAUGCGUAACUGUGCACAUUUUGGUCAGCUAUGUGUCAUGUUUAGGCUUUUCUGCGCUGUCUCGGCUGAAAGCCAUUUUUAUCGGAAUGUUGGUUGGUGCAUAUAGUUUUACUGCCAUGUAGAAGAAUGAAGUACUUAAGUGCUAUUUGUUUCUCUGCGAACGAAACUAGGUGUCUUUGUUACAAGUAAAUCAGGAUAAGAAUGGAAAUGACCCUGUUAGAUCCCCAUAAGUGGUACCGCAGUAGCCAGGAACAGAUUGACGUAAUCAACGGAUGAAUUGGUGUGUGUUAACCAUUUAAUUUGAACAUGGUAUGGCAAUUGUUGCACUCUGUUUUAGUUAGUUGAAACUGAUAGCCAGGAACGCAUCUUUGUAGUACUUUUCCGUUAAAUUUGUAAAUAUACAUUUUGCUUCAAGCAAUUUGCUAGCUAUUCAAGUUGGCAACUAGCUGGCAUCAUGUGAUGUUUCUUUUCCAUGUUAUUAAGACUUAUACAUAACUUAUUGUUUACAUGGUGGUCCAUUAUAACUAUUGUAAACUAAAUUUUUUCAACAAGGAGAUGUCUGCAUAUAACACCUUCAUAAUUGUUAUUACAUGACUAUAUGUUGUGAAAUCAUUUUUCAUAUGUCUAUUUUUUUUUCAUCACCCCCAUUUAGAAAUGAGCCUUCUGUUAACUCCUGAUCUUCCAAGUCAUUUUCUGUUCUGACAAACUUGUACCUUUUCAGACAGAUCAUUGUCAGCGAGUAAACAAUUGUUCAAUUAAAUACUGGCAUUAUGUGCUCUAUAUUGGGAAUUUCGAAUGAAUAGUUUUGACAUAUUUUCUUCAGGAGAAUUUUUCGGAGCUUGAGUAAGCAACUGUAUCUACUUAUUUUGUUAAUCAGAUUUGUAGCACCCGAUAUGUUUAGGCAGUAGACUUAUUGGUCCAGAGAAGGAUUCCCAUGAUUCACCAAAAAAUUGUUGUACUAGGGAGUUUGCUUGUUUUGAUAGAAAUAGUAGUAAGGUGUGUAUUUGUACGUAUAACAUGUUUGGUGAGAGAGAGACUUGGAUAUUUCUCCAUCCAUAUUUUACUUGUUCUGAUGUAGACAUGCACACAAGCCAAAAAUGAUCUCUAUGGAAUAAUGUUCCUGACAAGAGAUAGGGCUUUGUUCCUAUAUUACUAUUUUUGGGACCCUACAUUCUUUUAUCUAUAGCAUUUAUGCUUUAUGAGCUGCAUUUAUAAAUGGAUUAUAUCAGUGAUAUUAGCUAUGUGUGUGGACGGAUAUACAUAUGUGUGAGAUAAUUUGGGGUUGAUAGGAAAUCAUUAUUUUGAUGUUUUGUUAAUUGAAGUUUGAUCUUAUGUUCUAACUGCAAACAUGUGUGCCACGUUUCCUCAAUGUGAAGCGAAAGAAGGUCGUCGCGGUGGUCGGCUACCAGGAGUAUCUUGUUUGGCCUUGUACCAUGUCGGAUUGUCACUAUUUUUAAAAUCUACUUAUGACUAUUUUGUAAAGGACAAAUUGACAGAUUUGGCGAAAAAUGGGCGUAUUUGGAGCCGGAUGGAAAGAUUGGCAGAUUUGGAGCAGGGUGACGAUGGAGCAGACUGUUGUCACAAUAACAAAAGAGCUGAAGUGGAAGGGCUCAUGGAAGAAGAGAUGGAAUGACAAUGAUGCAACCUUGACGUGUGGCUGUUGUAUGUAUUUGAGGUAUGUAGGAAAAGAACUCUUAAUGAGGUAAAGUGAUGGGGCCUCAUCUAAGGCGGAGAUGGCAACUGAGCCCAGAGGCAAACAUGGCAUUGUUCAUAGUCAGUUUGUGAAUGAACAUGUGGUGGAAAGAAUGUUUCCAUGUCCAUAUGCCUCCUUUUCUUAUUAUUCGUACUAAGGUGAGGUGCCUUAUAUCUCAUCAGUUGUCGAUAUGGAGUUCCCCAUGGUGUCCUAUUUGGAGCUCUAUUUAUGAUCAUCUCAUAAUUCAGCAUCAGCCUUACAUUUAUCCUUCCAAUCUUAAAGAUCUAUGGAAACCUAACAAUAAAGCUUGGAAUGAAAAUCUUAUUUACUCUCUGUUUGAUGCUGAGGCAGCAAGCAUUAUUAUCCAAACCCCCAUAAUUCAAACGGAGGGUAAAGAUAUCAUGUGUUGGAAACACACCCCAACAGGUUUGGAAAGACAAUAGCAUUGCUCCGAGAAUUCAGACGUUUGCUUGGAGGCUUCUUGAGAGAGCAGUUCCAACAGGCAUGCGGGCUGAAGGCGGGAAAUGACAAACAUUUUGGAAGAAAAUAGGGACAUCCAACUCAGGUGCAUCAAGCUGCUCAAGCUAUAAUGAAAGGGCUUCAGGUAGAGUCCAAAGUUAUAGGUUUUAUCGGUCCACCCUUCUGACAGAUAAUCAGGUACUUGCAAGAGCUGCAAAUGCUGGCGAAUUUCAAACCCGGGACAUUGUGAAAUCCAUUCACAGAUAGCAGAAUACUUCAUUGUUUCCAAGUCUCUUAUGUUAAAGAUAUAUCACAUCAAAAGAGAUUUGAAUGGUGUUGCUCAUAACUGUGCAAAGGACUCACUGAAAAAGCUUUGUAUUAGCUACCACAUACUAUAUUAGCUCAUACUGUACUGUAUCCCCUACCACAUACUGUAUUAGCUCAACUGAUAGGAGUAUCCAGUGUCCAGUGUUGCUCGCUUUGAGCAACUUUGUAAUCUAUGGAUUUCGUAUCCUUGAUGUAAGAUGUGUAUGAAAGAUCAAUGAAUAGCGCCCUCGGGCGCUCCUUCUGUUAAAAAAA